UACGUAGGGGGCUAGCGUUGUCCGGAUUUAUUGGGCGUAAAGAGCGUGUAGGCGGCCAGAUAGGUCUGCUGUGAAAACUCGAGGCUCAACCUCGAGAUGUCGGCGGAAACCAUUUGGCUAGAGUCCGGAAGAGGAAAGUGGAAUUCCUGGUGUAGCGGUGAAAUGCGCAGAUAUCAGGAAGAACACCCGUGGCGAAGGCGGGUCUCUGGGCCGUAACUGACGCUGAGGAGCGAAAGCAUGGGGAGCGAACAGG
rnacentral:rRNA from 1 species